rnacentral:rRNA from 1 species
CCCUUAGAUGUUCUGGGCUGCACGCGUGCUACACUGAUUAUUUCAACAAGUGUUUUAACUGGAGAGUUCGCGUAAUCCUGAAAUGUUAUCGUGAUGGGAGUAGAGUAUUGUAUUUGUUAAUCUUUAACGAGGAAUUCCUAGCAAGUGUAGGUUUAUAAGUUGUUCUGAUUACGUCCCUGCCCUUUGUACACACCGCCCGUCGCUCCUACCGAUUGAUUGAUCCGGUGAAUUACAUAGAAUUUUGCGUUUUACAUGACGGAAGGCGAAGUGUUUUAAACCUUAUCAUUUAGAGGAAGGAGAAGUCGUAACA